CUUGAACCCCUAUAAGAGGUCCAGCCUGCCCAGUGACUUUGUUCAACGGCCGCGGUAUCCUAACCGUGCGAAGGUAGCGUAAUCACUUGUCUUUUAAAUGAGGACUUGUAUGAAUGGCAUCACGAGGGUUAUACUGUCUCCUUUCUCUAAUCAGUGAAACUAAUCUUCCCGUGAAGAAGCGGGAAUAAAUAUAUAAGACGAGAAGACCCUAUGGAGCUUUAAACUCAAUAACAAAUACUAACCUCACUUUAACUUCCAGAACAUUCACACUAAUCCUAGUAUUAUGAUUAUUAGUUUUAGGUUGGGGUGACCGCGGAGUAAAAAUUAACCUCCACAUUGAACAGGACCUUUCCCUGAGCUAAGAACUACAACUCUAAGCACCAACAAAUUGACAUUAAUUGACCCAAUACUUUGAUCAACGAAC
rnacentral:rRNA from 1 species